GAUGAACGCUGGCGGCGUGCCUAAUACAUGCAAGUCGAGCGAACAGACGAGGAGCUUGCUCCUCUGACGUUAGCGGCGGACGGGUGAGUAACACGUGGAUAACCUACCUAUAAGACUGGGAUAACUUCGGGAAACCGGAGCUAAUACCGGAUAAUAUAUUGAACCGCAUGGUUCAAUAGUGAAAGACGGUUUUGCUGUCACUUAUAGAUGGAUCCGCGCCGCAUUAGCUAGUUGGUAAGGUAACGGCUUACCAAGGCAACGAUGCGUAGCCGACCUGAGAGGGUGAUCGGCCACACUGGAACUGAGACACGGUCCAGACUCCUACGAGAGGCAGCAGUAGGGAAUCUUCCGCAAUGGGCGAAAGCCUGACGGAGCAACGCCGCGUGAGUGAUGAAGGUCUUCGGAUCGUAAAGCUCUGUUAUUAGGGAAGAACAAAUGUGUAAGUAACUAUGCACGUCUUGACGGUACCUAGUCAGAAAGCCACGGCUAACUACGUG
rnacentral:rRNA from 1 species